rnacentral:rRNA from 1 species
UACGGGGGGGAGCAAGCGUUGUUCGGAUUUACUGGGCGUAAAGGGCGCGUAGGCGGCCACCGCAAGUCGACUGUGAAGUCUCCGGGCUUAACCCGGAAAGGUCAGCCGAUACUGCGGGGCUAGAGUGCAGAAGGGGCAACUGGAAUUCUCGGUGUAGCGGUGAAAUGCGUAGAUAUCGAGAGGAACACCUGCGGCGAAGGCGGGUUGCUGGGCUGACACUGACGCUGAUGCGCGAAAGCUAGGGGAGCGAACGGG